UACGUAGGCAGCAAGCGUUGUUCGGAGUUACUGGGCGUAAAGGGUGUGUAGGCGGUCUUCUAAGUUUGGUGUGAAAUCUCCCGGCUCAACUGGGAGGGUGCGCCGAAAACUGGGAGGCUAGAGUACUGGAUGGGAGAGUGGAAUUCCUGGUGUAGCGGUGAAAUGCGUAGAGAUCCGGAGGAACACCGAAGGCGAAGGCAGUGUCCUGGCGCGUAACUGACGCUGAGGUGCGAAAGCCAGGGGAGCGAACGGG
rnacentral:rRNA from 1 species